rnacentral:lncRNA from 1 species
AGAGCCGCGCACCAAGCCGAUGGCGGUGGACGCAGCAGGGCCCCGCGGUCUGAGUGCGGGCAGGCGCGCGUGGGCGUGUCUCCCUGGCCCACGCGUGUCCCCGGCAUCAGUGUCUCGGCUCUGGUCCAGGACGAAGACUUCUGAAAGCGAGCCAAGGAGAAUCACAGUUCUUAACGGAGCCCCUGACUGCCCGGUGGAAGGAGGUGAUUUAGAAGACAGUGAGUUGAUCUGGGGCAAAGUGAAGCAUCAGUAGCGCCUUCCAUCCCUUCACCUCACCUGGAUCUCUUCACUUCACUCCACGUCUGUCGUCUCCCAUGCAUGAAGCAACAUGGCCAAGUGAAGCUGCAACCAGUAAAGUGUAAGGUAUCAAGUAGUGACAAUGAUGGUGUCAAAUAAUUGCUAUUUUUAGACUCAGCUACUGUUCCCAUCGAGAUGCAAAGGACACAGAGCUCACGGGUGCUCCAGCAAUGCUGGUGUCAUGUUUGGAGGUAGCUGUCUAUGGACUACAGUAUUCUCCCAGUGCUAGUCUGCAGUCACUGCAAAGCCUCCCAAUAGAACAUUUCUUCCUGAGCCAACCUAUCAGUGCAGCUCUGGAAGCAAAUGACCUCUCCUGGCAGAGCCUUCACUGUGUGGGGAACAUCAGAUUUGUGUAAAGAAGAUCACCUGUCUCUUCUCAGGUGUGCACUGUAGAGAAGCUGCUGCGAAGGCCACAGGUCACUCAGGAAAAUUUGGGGCAGUUUUCUAGGUUCAAGGGAGACUGGACAUCAAAGCUGCACUGGGACAUAUGGACGCCUUGAUCCACUUUGGCCAUUCCACCUCAGCUCAGAAUUACUCACUGGUGUCAGCACAGGAUGUUUCUUGGCUUCAAACCAUUUGGAUAAGUGAUGGCAGCAAGCUUCGCCACUGUAAAGUCACCUCUUUGUAAGAAGACAGGAGCUCUUUGUAAAGAAUAUGAGACCUGAGGCUGGGGGAUGGCUGAGAAGGGAAAAGCACCUCUGCACAAGCGUGAGAAAAGGAGUUUGUUCUUCCACAUCCAUGUAGAAAUCUUGAUGCCGUGCCGUGAACCCCAGCUCUCCUACGGGAAGAUGGGAGGCGUAGACAGGAGUUCAUCUGGAAGCUUGAGGCCAGCCACCCAGAUCCUCAGAGCUGCAGACAAAAGAGAGGCCCUGCAGCAAAAGAGUGGAAGGUGAGAACCAACUCCGGAAAGUUGCCCUCUGACCUUUACAAGUGUAUACAUCCACACACAUACAAUAAAAUCAAUUGCUCAAUCACGUA